GACGUAGGGCGCGAGCGUUGUCCGGAUUUAUUGGGCGUAAAGCGCACGUAGGCGGCUUCGCAAGUCCCAUGUGAAAGCCCACGGCUUAACCGUGGAAGUGCAUGGGAAACUGCAGAGCUUGAGUACUUAAGAGGAUCGCGGAAUUCCCGGUGUAGAGGUGAAAUUCGUAGAUAUCGGGAGGAACACCAGUGGCGAAGGCGGCGAUCUGGGAAGAUACUGACGCUGAGGUGCGAAAGCGUGGGGAGCAAACAGG
rnacentral:rRNA from 1 species